rnacentral:rRNA from 1 species
AGAGUUUGAUCAUGGCUCAGAUUGAACGCUGGCGGCAGGCCUAACACAUGCAAGUCGAACGGUAACAGGAAGAAGCUUGCUUCUUUGCUGACGAGUGGCGGACGGGUGAGUAAUGUCUGGGAAACUGCCUGAUGGAGGGGGAUAACGUACUGGAAACGGUAGCUAAUACCGCAUAACGUCGCAAGACCAAAAGAGGGGGACCUUCGGGCCUCUUGCCAUCGGAUGUGCCCAGAUGGGAUUAGCUAGUAGGUGGGGUAACGGCUCACCUAGGCGACGAUCCCUAGCUGGUCUGAGAGGAUGACCAGCCACACUGGAACUGAGACACGGUCCAGACUCCUACGGGAGGCAGCAGUGGGGAAUAUUGCACAAUGGGCGCAAGCCUGAUGCAGCCAUGCCGCGUGUAUGAAGAAGGCCUUCGGGUUGUAAAGUACUUUCAGCGGGGAGGAAGGGAGUAAAGUUAAUACCUUUGCUCAUUGACGUUACCCGCAGAAGAAGCACCGGCUAACUCCGUGCCAGCAGCCGCGGUAAUACGGAGGGUGCAAGCGUUAAUCGGAAUUACUGGGCGUAAAGCGCACGCAGGCGGUUGUUAAGUCAGAUGUGAAAUCCCCGGGCUCAACCUGGGAACUGCAUCUGAUACUGGCAAGCUUGAGUCUCGUAGAGGGGGGUAGAAUUCCAGGUGUAGCGGUGAAAUGCGUAGAGAUCUGGAGGAAUACCGGUGGCGAAGGCGGCCCCCUGGACGAAGACUGACGCUCAGGUGCGAAAGCGUGGGGAGCAAACAGGAUUAGAUACCCUGGUAGUCCACGCCGUAAACGAUGUCGACUUGGAGGUUGUGCCCUUGAGGCGUGGCUUCCGGAGCUAACGCGUUAAGUCGACCGCCUGGGGAGUACGGCCGCAAGGUUAAAACUCAAAUGAAUUGACGGGGGCCCGCACAAGCGGUGGAGCAUGUGGUUUAAUUCGAUGCAACGCGAAGAACCUUACCUGGUCUUGACAUCCACGGAAGUUUUCAGAGAUGAGAAUGUGCCUUCGGGAACCGUGAGACAGGUGCUGCAUGGCUGUCGUCAGCUCGUGUUGUGAAAUGUUGGGUUAAGUCCCGCAACGAGCGCAACCCUUAUCCUUUGUUGCCAGCGGUCCGGCCGGGAACUCAAAGGAGACUGCCAGUGAUAAACUGGAGGAAGGUGGGGAUGACGUCAAGUCAUCAUGGCCCUUACGACCAGGGCUACACACGUGCUACAAUGGCGCAUACAAAGAGAAGCGACCUCGCGAGAGCAAGCGGACCUCAUAAAGUGCGUCGUAGUCCGGAUUGGAGUCUGCAACUCGACUCCAUGAAGUCGGAAUCGCUAGUAAUCGUGGAUCAGAAUGCCACGGUGAAUACGUUCCCGGGCCUUGUACACACCGCCCGUCACACCAUGGGAGUGGGUUGCAAAAGAAGUAGGUAGCUUAACCUUCGGGAGGGCGCUUACCACUUUGUGAUUCAUGACUGGGGUGAAGUCGUAACAAGGUAACCGUAGGGGAACCUGCGGUUGGAUCACCU